UGCAACGUAAGGUUAACUACU
ensembl:piRNA 21ur-3357 ncRNA